rnacentral:lncRNA from 1 species
GAGAGAAGUUAGAGAGAGAAAGAAAGGCUUAUGGUGUGAAGAAAAUAUGAGGAGUUCACCCUUGUAUUUAUAGGAAGUGUAUAGUAAAGUAGUCUCCAAGCUUCGUCCGUAACUUUUGCAUACGAGCUCCGUUUUUGUCUGUCUUUUUACUGUUGAGUUCCUAUUAAUGAGAUCUUCAACUUUCAUUUAGACCUCGUUGGCUAAUUCUCAUUCUAUCUCGGAUUUACAAAACUGUAUCAAAUUCGCCGCGCUCGAAAAGUAGGGACUAAGCUUCGUCCAUAACUUUCGCAUACGAGCUCCAUUUUUGUCUGUCUUUUUACCGUUGAGUUCCUAUUAAUGAGAUCUUCAACUCUCAUUUAGACCUCGUUGGCUAAUUCUCAUUCUAUCUCGUAUUUACAAAACUGUAUCGAAUUCGCCGCGCUCGAAAAGUAGGGACUAAGCUUCGUCCAUAACUUUUGCAUACGAGCUCUAUUAUCGACGUUCUUUAUAUCCACGCGUUGGUAUUUACGAGUACUACAACUUUCAUUUAGAUCCCGUCGGCUAAAAAUCGACCGAUCUAAAAUUCAGAUUUCGGGCUGUGCACUGCUAUGCUAAAUCUUAGAAAAAUCAUAACUUCCUCAUACGAAGUCAGAUUUGGGCGUUCUUUUUAUCGAUGUUCUUAGUUUAACAUAUUCUACGACUUUCGUUUAGAUCGCUAAGGCUAAAUCUCGCUCUAUCGUAAAUUCACUAUUUACGCUUCCCGGUAUCGUGCCGGUUCCGUCGCGAAACUUCAACGGGUCAUAACUUCUUCGUUAUAACUCGGUUUUCGGCGUUCUUUAUAUGUACGAAAACCUUGUAACAUACUCUACAACUUGGUUAAGAUUAUUUAUUCUAAAUAAUCUUUUGUCGAAAAGUCGUUUUCGACCCCUAUUGCCUCUAAUUUGACUAGCCCAGAUUUGCGGGCGUUACAAUUAUCUCCCCCUUAGGAUGAUUACGUCCCGGAAUCAUCAACGAAACAGGGUCGUAUAAUGACUCCAUACGUCAUCUCUUCAUCCUAGGUAAUAAUUAUAACUUCUACAUUCCUUCAAUUCUAUCUCUUAAACUCAUUGACUGUAAGAGUACUCGAUCGUGCACCUGCUCUCUACCUCAGGUUAGACUCCAAAUUAUGACCUUCAAGUCACAAUCUCGAUCCUUGCUGGAUACGGACUUGAGAUAAGUUCUUUUAUUACUACUAUAGAUCGAUGUGUCAUAUUCUAAUGACCUAUCAUCGUAUGUUGCAACACUUAGACUUAGGUCUCUUAGAGUUAAAUUCUAAAACAGACUAUGCCUUCCUUCAUGUUCUAAUGUGAUAUAAUCACACUUUAACAUUAGGCAUUUCUAGCCACCAACUUCUUUAACAACGAGUGCGAUACUUCUAUUGAUCGCUUUGAUUUCAACCGUUUGGUUUAAGUCGGACGCUACAUCAAACUUGGUUCUCUGAACCACACAACAUACUCAUCGUAGUCGGACUCGAUUCGAUAUGACCACUAGGGUCGGAAUAUCAACAAUCUUCUUAGUCAUUACCGAAACGAUGGUAACAACACACUUGAAUAAAACGAAAUCAAUUACUAGCUUCUUGGUAACCUUGUGACUUUCCCUGAUCCAAGUGUGAGUCCUGUGCUUCCGGUAGUAUAGGCCUCUACUACCAUUCACACCUACUCAUACUCGUCCCAAGUAUUGUCUCGCAGUUUCCCAAGUCACCAUGCAGCAAAUCACACAAUCAUUCGACACAUCAGAUAACAAAACGAAGGUUUUAUAUUAAUUCUUGAAACGAUUACAUAGGUGUUCAAGUUCACCCUAGACUAUGCCUCUACUAGGCUACAUCAUAAAAUACUAUGGCUACUACAUAACUUGAUCUUCUGAUAUGAAGUCCUCAUCCUUGAUUCCUCGCACGGUUUUCUGCUUCGUCGAGGAUCAUGUGAAAUGCCCUUGGCCUUGGUGGCGUUUCUGGUCUUACUGCUUUAUUUUUCUUUGGGCAGUUUCUGGACAUAUGCCCCUUGCCUCCACAUCCGUAGCAUACUUUAUCAUCAUGUGUGCAGUCUUUGGAAUAGUGACCAGUCCUCCCACACUUGUAACAAGUCACUUCUUCAUUGCACUUCCCACCAUGCUUCUUCUUGCAUCUAUCACACCAUCUUGCUUCACCUCCAUCUGCUCCUCCAAGUUUUGAGAAUUUUCUUUCCUUGUUCGACCUCGAAGAUCCCUCAAACUUUCGCUUCUCUCCUGCCUUAUCUUUUUCUAGACCCUUUUCUCUUAUCUGGGCCUCUACGUUCUUAGCUGCCCUAACAGCUGCUUUCAAGGUAGUUGCCAUUUUGACCAUUGGGCCAAAGUCAGUGGGCAGUCCGUUAGCAAACCUAUCAAUCUUGGAGAGUUCAGUAGGCACCAAGUAGGGAAAUAGCUUCAUCCUCUCGGUAAAUGCGGUGGCAUACUCAUCAACACUCAUCUUCCCUUUCUUCAGGUUCUGAAACUCGUUGUUUAGGUCUAUCAGAUCUACCUCCGAGCAGUACUGCAUUUUCAACUGUUCCAAAAACUCUUCCCACGACAUCCUUAAGGCUUCUCCUCGUGGCAUCGUAUCUGCCAAUAGCUUCCACCAGCUCAAGACUCCAGUUUUCAGUUGUCUUACAGCGAAGACAGUCUUCUGUUUCUCGUUACAGCUGCAGCUCUCAAACACCAUCUCCAUCUCAGAGAUCCAAUCCAUAAUCUCAACCGGCUUCGGGCUUCCUGAGAGACUUGGUGGUUUCGCACCCAAGAAAUUCUUGUACAUCCGCCCAUCCUUGUUGUUUCUCCCUUCUGGGCCAUCCCUUUGCUCACCUUGAGUCCCAACUUGACUCACUUGGCGGCUGUAGUUCCCUUCCUCAGAUUGCUCGGGAAUCAGUUCGGGUUGCUCAAUGGGCAUAGUAGGUUCGUCCCUAUUCAACAUCCGUCUCAUUUCUUCCCUUUGUUCAGCCAACAUAGCCCGAAUCAUGGCUUGAACUCCAGCCAUGGUGACUGGCUCAGGCGCAACUUCUUCUACAACAGGUAUUUGCUGAACCACUGGGGGUUGGUUCCUGUUCCCAUUUGCGUUUACGUUUCCGCUACGGGUCCUUACCAUCUCGAUCUAUACACCGAAUAAGGUGAAUUUAGACCUUUACUUGACGUUUAAAUCAUCCUUAUCACUCCGAAACGUUUACAUGCUAGUUCUAAUACCGUAGUCGUACGUUUAGAAUCCUAAACACAUAAGGUUUCCAGAUCCGGUCGGCAACAGACCAUAGAUCCGAACAAUUAACAACAUAUCAUGCACAAAGCAUUUAGCACAUAAAAGCAUUUUAGGCAUAAUUCCUAAAAUAAGCUAGUGCUCACACCUCACAAUCAUCGCUUAGCAUUCUAAGUUUAAGUCUAGAAAUAAAUCCAUAUUCCUAGUUCGCUUAAACUAAUGCUCUGAUACCAACUGUGACAUCCCCAAAAUCACGGCCAGAAAAGACCGAUUUUGUUUAUGCUUUAUAAAAAUCAGAGUACUUCAUUUUAUAAAAAGGUUGCGGAAUUUGUUCCCAGAAAAACAUGGUAAAUACGUUAUUAAAACAUUUUCGAAGAAACGUAUUUAUUUCAUUUUAAAAUGUUUGGGAUGUCAUCGUUAAUACCGAAACAUAAGCAUAAACAGAACUUACAAUGAUUUACACUAGUGAUCUACAUCUCUUUUAAAUCUCUCAGUGUAAUGUCACUUCACUUCGUCACCUGUGAUAUACAUAAACUGAGUGGGUCAGGUUGGGAAACCUGGUGAGUACAUAGGGUUUUCAACCCACAAUAAUAUAAUUAUUAUGUUCAAUCAAACAAUCAACCCAAUUACCCAUCCCCAUUAUCUUCUUUACUCUUUAAGGAUUUAACCUAAGAGUCAUCUAUCCUGCAUUCGUUUAUUCCGAAGUCCCUUACUUCCAGGGUUAUGGGACUGGCACUAAAUCCAUAGCUGCCAAUGUUCGUUCAUAAAGCACUAAUUCCAUAGCUGCUAUAGUCUAUUCAUCGGGUACUAAAUCCAUAGCUACCAGUCUUUAUCUAAUAGGUACUAAGUCCAUAGCUACCAAUGUUCAACAGGUACUAAGUCCAUAGCUACCAAUUCCUACAGGUACUAAAUCCUUAGCUACCAGCGUCUAACUAAUAGGUACUAAGUCCAUAGCUACCAAUUCCCAACAGGUACUAAAUCCAUAGCUACCAACGUCUAAAAGGUACUAAGUCCAUAGCUACCGGUGUUUGUCCCAUAGGCACUAAGUCUAUAGCUGCCAAUGUAUACUCACGUCAUCUUCUAUCUCUCAUCAUUCAUCUACCCAUCUCAUACCCAACAUUUUCGUAUAUAUAAAAUACGUAUACAGUUUAAGUCCUUUAAAACAUGUAUAAAACGUUCAACCAGCAUAGACAGCAAGUAUUCAGAUAAUGUGCACACAUAGCACGUAGUUUAUAUAAAAUACUUCAUAUCUAUGUGUAAGAUGAAAGGGACUAUGCACUCACUUGAAAGGUGGUGAGUCGGCACUCGGACAGCACUUCGUUACUCUUAAAACAAUUAUCCCUUGACGAAACCUAGUAUCAUUACCACUAGAGUUUAGUCUAACGCUUGACGAGACUAAUUUAAUAGUCUAGCUAUUAUUACUAUUAUAUAAGCGUUAAAUAACACUCAAUAUAACUCAUAAUAAUAGCCUAAAUAAUUAUUUUAAGGUCCUAACAAUGUUACUAUAAUUAAAUAAAAUCUAUAUUAAAUAUACUAUAGGCGUAGCUCACUUACAGCGGGUUUUUAUUAAAAACCGGGCUUCGCUGGAGCAGCGUUUCCGAGCCGAAAGCUUUUCUUCUCGGAGCCGUCGGGCGCUCCGGGGCUUUCUUCUCGUGCUAGGGAGGUUCCGUAGACUUGGGAGGGGUUUAGGGAGGCUAGAGAGAAGUUAGAGAGAGAAAGAAAGGCUUAUGGUGUGAAGAAAAUAUGAGGAGUUCACCCUUGUAUUUAUAGGAAGUGUAUAGUAAAGUAGUCUCCAAGCUUCGUCCGUAACUUUUGCAUACGAGCUCCGUUUUUGUCUGUCUUUUUACUGUUGAGUUCCUAUUAAUGAGAUCUUCAACUUUCAUUUAGACCUCGUUGGCUAAUUCUCAUUCUAUCUCGGAUUUACAAAACUGUAUCAAAUUCGCCGCGCUUGAAAAGUAGGGACUAAGCUUCGUCCAUAACUUUCGCAUACGAGCUCCAUUUUUGUCUGUCUUUUUACCGUUGAGUUCCUAUUAAUGAGAUCUUCAACUCUCAUUUAGACCUCGUUGGCUAAUUCUCAUUCUAUCUCGUAUUUACAAAACUGUAUCAAAUUCGCCGCGCUCGAAAAGUAGGGACUAAGCUUCGUCCAUAACUUUUGCAUACGAGCUCUAUUAUCGACGUUCUUUAUAUCCACGCGUUGGUAUUUACGAGUACUACAACUUUCAUUUAGAUCCCGUCGGCUAAAAAUCGACCGAUCUAAAAUUCAGAUUUCGGGCUGUGCACUGCUAUGCUAAAUCUUAGAAAAAUCAUAACUUCCUCAUACGAAGUCAGAUUUGGGCGUUCUUUUUAUCGAUGUUCUUAGUUUAACAUAUUCUACGACUUUCGUUUAGAUCGCUAAG